GUGGUUGAAGACAUAUACAUGCGGAGGCAGCCAUUACCCUCUAUGGAUGCCAUAUACUUCAUCCAGCCAUCCAAAGAGAACCCUGGUUUGUAUGAUGAGACUGAUAGAAUAAUCGAGAAGAUGAAUUAGAUUUCUCCUGUUCCUAUCCACAGUAUCUAUUCUCCAAAUGGGUUGGUUUGUUAUGAUGUCCAUGGAGUGCUACUAUCAAACUCGAUCUGUGUAUUUUGUAUGUGCUUUGUGGGAAGUUAUGUUAUUAUGUUGUAAUAAUGACCAACCAAACAAUUGGAACAUAUUAUGUAUAUGCGAGUUUGAUAGUACACAGAGUAUAUGUUAUUAUGUA